CCCGUUAAUCCCUACUCUUUGUUUCCUGUCUGCAACCACUUCUCUAACCAUGUCAGCACUCAACCCCCAAUACCAUGUGCCCUAAUUUUGCCCACUAAUCUCCUAUACAAGAAAGAGAAAGAGAGAGA